UGUCCAGUAGCACCUUAGAGACCAACUAAGUUUGUUCUGGGUAUAAGCUUUCGUGUGCAUGCACAUGAAAGCUUAUACCCAGAACAAACUUACUUGGUCUCUAAAGUGCUACUGGACA